AGGACGAACGCUGGCGGCGUGCCUAACACAUGCAAGUCGAGCGAGAUCCAUCCAGUGGCAACACUGGUGAAGAUCUAGCGGCGAACGGGUGAGUAACACGUGAGAAAUCUGCCCCGAAGACCGGGAUAACCCGAGGAAACUCGGGCUAAUACCGGAUACCCCCAUCGAACCACAUGGUUUGAUGAGGAAAUGCUCCGACGCUUCGGGAGGAUCUCGCGGCCUAUCAGCUAGUUGGUGAGGUAACGGCUCACCAAGGCUACGACGGGUAGCUGGUCUGAGAGGACGAUCAGCCACACUGGGACUGAGACACGGCCCAGACUCCUACGGGAGCAGCAGUGGGAAUCUUGCGCAAGUGGGCGAAAGCCUGACGCAGCAACGCCGCGGUGGGGAUGGAAGGCUCGUCGGGUUCGUAAACCCCGUUUCAGGAGGAACGAAAUGAACGGUACCUCCAGAAGAACGCCCGGACCAACGUACGUA
rnacentral:rRNA from 1 species